rnacentral:rRNA from 1 species
AAUGAACGCUGGCGGCAUGCCUAACACAUGCAAGUCGAACGAAGGCUUCGGCCUUAGUGGCGCACGGGUGCGUAACGCGUGGGAAUCUGCCCUCAGGUUCGGAAUAACAGCGAGAAAUUGCUGCUAAUACCGGAUGAUAUCGCGAGAUCAAAGAUUUAUCGCCUGAGGAUGAGCCCGCGUAGGAUUAGCUAGUUGGUGUGGUAAAGGCGCGCCAAGGCGACGAUCCUUAGCUGGUCUGAGAGGAUGAUCCGCCACACUGGGAGUGAGACACGGCCCAGAGUCCUACGGGAGGCAGCAGUGGGGAAUAUUGGACAAUGGGCGAAAGCCUGAUCCAGCAAUGCCGCGUGAGUGAUGAAGGCCUUAGGGUUGUAAAGCUCUUUUACCCGGGAUGAUAAUGACAGUACCGGGAGAAUAAGCUCCGGCUAACUCCGUGCCAGCAGCCGCCGUAA